GCGGACCCCCUGGAGCGGGUCGGGUCGCGCGCGGGUAAGGGGCCUCAAAACGGCACCGUUUUCCUUUUAUUAUUUAAACCCAAAACAUUUUUUUAAUCCAUUUUCAGCCCCUUUUUCCCCAAAAAUCUGAAAUAAAACCCUCAGCCUCCUUUUCUCUCCUUUUUCCCCACUCAACCCCCAAGUUCAGACCACCGUCGCCGCCACCUUGGCCAGUGGCCGGAGUUGCUGCGAGAAGGGCCUCUUGGCCUUCCCUUCGCGGCGUCCCUGAAGGCUAGGCCCUCUCGACCGCGGGACCAGGAGAAAAAAAAAGAGACGCCCCUCCCCGUUCGAUUCCGGAGACGGCGAAGGCGGGGUUCCGACGCCGGCCCUUCGAAGCAGUCAGGUACAUGGCAAGGUCAACUUGCCGUUUUGGUGCAAAGGAGGCUACCUCGAGCGGUGGGUGUGCUGACACCGCACAUGGGGCAGCGGCGCAAAGAAACACUAGGGUUUCUUCUUUUACUGAAAUUUGUUUAGGUUUUGGGCCUGUUGGGCCCUGGGUCUUUGGGUUUAGGUUGCUAGGCUUUUGUUUAGUACUUGGGCCCCGGGCAAAAAUAGGCCCUUACAAUAUGGAAAGCAAUGUAUUUGGUGUCUAUCUAGUUUAAUAUUAAUUAAACAAUUUUAAAAUAUA